rnacentral:rRNA from 1 species
CUGGCGGCGGCCUACACAUGCAAGUCGAGCGGUAGAGAGAAGCUUGCUUCUCUUGAGAGCGGCGGACGGGUGAGUAAAGCCUAGGAAUCUGCCUGGUAGUGGGGGAUAACGUUCGGAAACGGACGCUAAUACCGCAUACGUCCUACGGGAGAAAGCAGGGGACCUUCGGGCCUUGCGCUAUCAGAUGAGCCUAGGUCGGAUUAGCUAGUUGGUGAGGUAAUGGCUCACCAAGGCGACGAUCCGUAACUGGUCUGAGAGGAUGAUCAGUCACACUGGAACUGAGACACGGUCCAGACUCCUACGGGAGGCAGCAGUGGGGAAUAUUGGACAAUGGGCGAAAGCCUGAUCCAGCCAUGCCGCGUGUGUGAAGAAGGUCUUCGGAUUGUAAAGCACUUUAAGUUGGGAGGAAGGGCAGUUAUCUAAUACGUGACUGUUUUGACGUUACCGACAGAAUAAGCACCGGCUAACUCUGUGCCAGCAGCCGCGGUAAU